GGGUUGUGAGGUUAAGCGACUAAGCGUACACGGUGGAUGCCCUGGCAGUCAGAGGCGAUGAAGGACGUGCUAAUCUGCGAAAAGCGUCGGUAAGGUGAUAUGAACCGUUAUAGCCGGCGAUGUCCGAAUGGGGAAACCCAGUGCAAUUCGUUGCACUAUCGUUAACUGAAUACAUAGGUUAACGAGGCGAACCGGGGGAACUGAAACAUCUAAGUACCCCGAGGAAAAGAAAUCAACCGAGAUUCCCCCAGUAGCGGCGAGCGAACGGGGAGCAGCCCAGAGUCUGAAUCAGCUUGUGUGUUAGUGGAACGGUCUGGAAAGUCCGACGGUACAGGGUGAUAGUCCCGUACACCAAAAUGCACAGGCUGUGAACUCGAAGAGUAGGGCGGGACACGUGGUAUCCUGUCUGAAUAUGGGGGGACCAUCCUCCAAGGCUAAAUACUCCUGACUGACCGAUAGUGAACCAGUACCGUGAGGGAAAGGCGAAAAGAACCCCGGCGAGGGGAGUGAAAAAGAACCUGAAACCGUGUACGUACAAGCAGUGGGAGCACCUUCGGGUGUGACUGCGUACCUUUUGUAUAAUGGGUCAGCGACUUAUAUUCUGUAGCAAGGUUAACCGUAUAGGGGAGCCGCAGGGAAACCGAGUCUUAACUGGGCGUUAAGUUGCAGGGUAUAGACCCGAAACCCGGUGAUCUAGCCAUGGGCAGGUUGAAGGUUGGGUAACACUAACUGGAGGACCGAACCGACUAAUGUUGAAAAAUUAGCGGAUGACUUGUGGCUGGGGGUGAAAGGCCAAUCAAACCGGGAGAUAGCUGGUUCUCCCCGAAAGCUAUUUAGGUAGCGCCUCGUGAACUCAUCUUCGGGGGUAGAGCACUGUUUCGGCUAGGGGGUCAUCCCGACUUACCAACCCGAUGCAAACUACGAAUACCGAAGAAUGUUAUCACGGGAGACACACGGCGGGUGCUAACGUCCGUCGUGAAGAGGGAAACAACCCAGACCGCCAGCUAAGGUCCCAAAGUCAUGGUUAAGUGGGAAACGAUGUGGGAAGGCACAGACAGCCAGGAUGUUGGCUUAGAAGCAGCCAUCAUUUAAAGAAAGCGUAAUAGCUCACUGGUCGAGUCGGCCUGCGCGGAAGAUGUAACGGGGCUAAACCAUGCACCGAAGCUGCGGCAGCGACACUAUGUGUUGUUGGGUAGGGGAGCGUUCUGUAAGCCUGCGAAGGUGUGCUGUGAGGCAUGCUGGAGGUAUCAGAAGUGCGAAUGCUGACAUAAGUAACGAUAAAGCGGGUGAAAAGCCCGCUCGCCGGAAGACCAAGGGUUCCUGUCCAACGUUAAUCGGGGCAGGGUGAGUCGACCCCUAAGGCGAGGCCGAAAGGCGUAGUCGAUGGGAAACAGGUUAAUAUUCCUGUACUUGGUGUUACUGCGAAGGGGGGACGGAGAAGGCUAUGUUAGCCGGGCGACGGUUGUCCCGGUUUAAGCAUGUAGGCUGGUUAUCCAGGCAAAUCCGGAUAAUCAAGGCUGAGGUGUGAUGACGAGGCACUACGGUGCUGAAGUAACAAAUGCCCUGCUUCCAGGAAAAGCCUCUAAGCAUCAGGUAACAUUAAAUCGUACCCCAAACCGACACAGGUGGUCAGGUAGAGAAUACCAAGGCGCUUGAGAGAACUCGGGUGAAGGAACUAGGCAAAAUGGUGCCGUAACUUCGGGAGAAGGCACGCUGGUGUGUAGGUGAAGUCCCUGCGGAUGGAGCUGAGACCAGUCGAAGAUACCAGCUGGCUGCAACUGUUUAUUAAAAACACAGCACUGUGCAAACACGAAAGUGGACGUAUACGGUGUGACGCCUGCCCGGUGCCGGAAGGUUAAUUGAUGGGGUUAUCCGUAAGGAGAAGCUCUUGAUCGAAGCCCCGGUAAACGGCGGCCGUAACUAUAACGGUCCUAAGGUAGCGAAAUUCCUUGUCGGGUAAGUUCCGACCUGCACGAAUGGCGUAAUGAUGGCCAGGCUGUCUCCACCCGAGACUCAGUGAAAUUGAACUCGCUGUGAAGAUGCAGUGUACCCGCGGCAAGACGGAAAGACCCCGUGAACCUUUACUAUAGCUUGACACUGAACAUUGAGCCUUGAUGUGUAGGAUAGGUGGGAGGCUUUGAAGCGUGGACGCCAGUCUGCGUGGAGCCAACCUUGAAAUACCACCCUUUAAUGUUUGAUGUUCUAACGUUGGCCCCUGACCGGGGUUGCGGACAGUGUCUGGUGGGUAGUUUGACUGGGGCGGUCUCCUCCCAAAGCGUAACGGAGGAGCACGAAGGUUAGCUAAUCCUGGUCGGACAUCAGGAGGUUAGUGCAAUGGCAUAAGCUAGCUUGACUGCGAGCGUGACGGCGCGAGCAGGUGCGAAAGCAGGUCAUAGUGAUCCGGUGGUUCUGAAUGGAAGGGCCAUCGCUCAACGGAUAAAAGGUACUCCGGGGAUAACAGGCUGAUACCGCCCAAGAGUUCAUAUCGACGGCGGUGUUUGGCACCUCGAUGUCGGCUCAUCACAUCCUGGGGCUGAAGUAGGUCCCAAGGGUAUGGCUGUUCGCCAUUUAAAGUGGUACGCGAGCUGGGUUUAGAACGUCGUGAGACAGUUCGGUCCCUAUCUGCCGUGGGCGCUGGAGAAUUGAGGGGGGCUGCUCCUAGUACGAGAGGACCGGAGUGGACGCAUCACUGGUGUUCGGGUUGUCAUGCCAAUGGCACUGCCCGGUAGCUAAAUGCGGAAGAGAUAAGUGCUGAAAGCAUCUAAGCACGAAACUUGCCCCGAGAUGAGUUCUCCCUGAGACUUUAAGUCUCCUGAAGGAACGUU
rnacentral:rRNA from 1 species